GAUGAACGCUGGCGGCGUGCCUAAUACAUGCAAGUCGAGCGAACAGACGAGGAGCUUGCUCCUCUGACGUUAGCGGCGGACGGGUGAGUAACACGUGGAUAACCUACCUAUAAGACUGGGAUAACUUCGGGAAACCGGAGCUAAUACCGGAUAAUAUAUUGAACCGCAUGGUUCAAUAGUGAAAGACGGUUUUGCUGUCACUUAUAGAUGGAUCCGCGCCGCAUUAGCUAGUUGGUAAGGUAACGGCUUACCAAGGCAACGAUGCGUAGCCGACCUGAGAGGGUGAUCGGCCACACGGGAACUGAGACACGGGCCAGACUCCUAAGGGAGGCAGCAGUAGGGAAUCUUCCGCAAUGGGCAAAAGCCUGACGGAGCAACGCCGCGUGAGUGAUGAAGGUCUUCGGAUCGUAAAACUCUGUUAUUAGGGAAGAACAAAUGUGUAAGUAACUAUGCACGUCUUGACGGUACCUAAUCAGAAAGCCACGGCUAACUACGUG
rnacentral:rRNA from 1 species